rnacentral:rRNA from 1 species
AUAGCAUGUCAGAAGGCAGACCCGGAGAACUGAAACAUCUUAGUACCCGGAGGAAGAGAAAGAAAAAUCGAUUCCCUGAGUAGCGGCGAGCGAAACGGGAAGAGCCCAAACCAACAAGCUUGCUUGUUGGGGUUGUAGGACACUCUAUACGGAGUUACAAAAGAACAUGUUAGACGAAUCAUCUGGAAAGAUGAAUCAAAGAAGGUAAUAAUCCUGUAGUCGAAAACAUAUUCUCUCUUGAGUGGAUCCUGAGUACGACGGAGCACGUGAAAUUCCGUCGGAAUCUGGGAGGACCAUCUCCUAAGGCUAAAUACUCUCUAGUGACCGAUAGUGAACCAGUACCGUGAGGGAAAGGUGAAAAGUACCCCGGAAGGGGAGUGAAAGAGAACUUGAAACCGUGUGCUUACAAGUAGUCAGAGCCCGUUAAUGGGUGAUGGCGUGCCUUUUGUAGAAUGAACCGGCGAGUUACGAUCUGAUGCAAGGUUAAGCAGCAAAUGUGGAGCCGCAGCGAAAGCGAGUCUGAAUAGGGCGUUGAGUAUUUGGUCGUAGACCCGAAACCAGGUGAUCUACCCUUGGUCAGGUUGAAGUUCAGGUAACACUGAAUGGAGGACCGAA